rfam:Dipodomys ordii contig_28973, whole genome shotgun sequence.
GGUGGCUCAGUGGUAGAGCGCUUGCCUUGCAUGCAUGCAUGCAUGAGGCCCUGGGUUCGAUUCCUCAGCACCA